CCCUUAGAUGUUCUGGGCCGCACGCGCGCUACACUGACGAAUGCAACGAGCUUAUAACCUUGGCCGAAAGGUCUGGGUAAUCUCCAAAUUUCGUCGUGAUGGGGAUAGAUUAUUGCAAUUAUUAAUCUUCAACGAGGAAUGCCUAGUAAGCGCAAGUCAUCAGCUUGCGUUGAUUACGUCCCUGCCCUUUGUACACACCGCCCGUCGCUCCUACCGAUUGAAUGGUCCGGUGAAGCGCUCGGACCGUGGCCUCUUGACGGUUCGCUGUCGAUUGGCUGUGGGAAGUUCGUUAAACCUUAUCAUUUAGAGGAAGGAGAAGUCGUAACA
rnacentral:rRNA from 1 species